AUAGGAAGAAAUAAGGCAUCUUUUUUCUUUUAAAAGACCUAGUGAUAGGUAUACUUUAGGAGGGCCGAGCAACGCCGCGAGAAGUUGGUAGGGUAAUGGCCUACCAAGACGAUGAUGUGUAGCUGGACUGAGAGGUUGAACAGCCACAUUGGGACUGAGACACGGCCCAAACUCCUACGGGAGGCAGCAGUAGGGAAUUUUCGGCAAUGGAGGAAACUCUGACCGAGCAACGCCGGCGUGAACGACGAAGUACUUUGGUAUGUAAAGUUCUUUUAUCAAGGAAGAAAAGCAAGUGGUGAACCAUUUGUUUGCCGGUACUUGAUGAAUAAGCCCCGGCUAAUUAUGUGCCAGCAGCCGCGGUAAGACAUAAGGGGCAAGUGUUAUCCGGAAUUAUUGGGCGUAAAGGGUGCGUAGGCGGUCUAGUAAGUCAGUGGUGUAAUGGCAACGCUCAACGUUGUCCGGCUAUUGAAACUGCUAAACUUGAGUUAGAUAGAGGCGAGUGGAAUUCCAUGUGUAGCGUAAAAUGCGUAAAUAUAUGGAGGAACACCAGAGGCGUAGGCGGCUCGCUGGGUCUUAACUGACGCUGAGGCACGAAAGCGUGGGGAGCAAACAGGAUUAGAUACCCUGGUAGUCCACGCCGUAAACGAUGAGUACUAAGUGUCGGGUUAAACCGGUACUGAAGUUAACACAUUAAGUACUCCGCCUGAGUAGUACGUACGCAAGUAUGAAACUUAAAGGAAUUGACGGGACUCGCACAAGCGGUGGAUCAUGUUGUUUAAUUCGAAGAUACCCGAAAAACCUUACCAGGUCUUGACAUGUUUUUGCGAAACGGUAGUAAUAUCGUGGAGGUUAUCAGAAACACAGGUGGUGCAUGGUUGUCGUCAGCUCGUGUCGUGAGAUGUUAGGUUAAGUCCUAAAACGAGGCGAAACCCUUAUCGUUAGUUGCCAGCACGUUAUGGUGGGGACUUUAACGAGACUGCCAGUGAUAAAUUGGAGGAAGGUGAGGAUCACGUCAAAUCAGCAUGCCCCUUAUGACCUGGGCUACGCCCUAACCGUGAUACAAUGGCUGUUACAAAGGGUAGCUGAAACGCAAGUUCUUGGCCAAUCCCCAAAAACAGUCUCAGUCCGGAUUGAAGUCUGCAACUCGACUUCAUGAAGUUGGAAUCGCUAGUAAUCGCGAAUCAGCAUGUCGCGGUGAAUACGUUCU
rnacentral:rRNA from 1 species